GAUGAACGCUGGCGGCGUGCCUAAUACAUGCAAGUCGAGCGAACGGACGAGAAGCUUGCUUUUCUGAUGUUAGCGGCGGACGGGUGAGUAACACGUGGAUAACCUACCUAUAAGACUGGGAUAACUUCGGGAAACCGGAGCUAAUACCGGAUAAUAUUUUGAACCGCAUGGUUCAAAAGUGAAAGACGGUCUUGCUGUCACUUAUAGAUGGAUCCGCGCUGCAUUAGCUAGUUGGUAACGUAACGGCUUACCAAGGCAACGAUGCAUAGCCGACCUGAGAGGGUGAUCGGCCACACUGGAACUGAGACACGGUCCAGACUCCUACGGGAGGCAGCAGUAGGGAAUCUUCCGCAAUGGGCGAAAGCCUGACGGAGCAACGCCGCGUGAGUGAUGAAGGUCUUCGGAUCGUAAAACUCUGUUAUUAGGGAAGAACAUAUGUGUAAGUAACUGUGCACAUCUUGACGGUACCUAAUCAGAAAGCCACGGCUAACUACGUG
rnacentral:rRNA from 1 species